rnacentral:tRNA from 1 species
AGAAAGUUAGUCUAACUAAGACAGUUGAUUUCGACUCAACAAACCAUAGCCCCAUCCUAUGACUUUCUU